rnacentral:rRNA from 1 species
GUUAAGUCAGAUGUAGAAACGGCCCGGGGCUACAACCGUACGGUAAUUGCUAUUUAGAAACGUGGACAAACUAGAGUACUGUAGAGGGGGUAGAAUUUCAGGUGUAGCGGUGAAAUGCGUAGAGAUCUGAAGGAAUACCGGUGGCGAAGGCGGCCCCCUGGACAGAUACUGACACUCAGAUGCGAAAGCGUGGGGAGCAAACAGGAUUAGAUACCCUGGUCG